CCAAUUUCUUGGUAACAUAGUUUAUGGUUAAGACUAUGACGGUUUCUUAUCGUCUUCGGACCCCUAACUUUCGUUAUUGAUGAAGGAAUAUGUCCUUGGCUGAUGCAUUCGCAUUACUUUGUCUUUAACAAAUCCAAGAAUUUCACCUCUGACUGUUAAAUACAAAUGCCCCCAACCAUCCCCAUCAUUCCGUAUCCCCAUUACGAAACCAACAAGCAUAACAAUGAACUUUGUCAUUAUUCCAUGCUUUUGUAUGCAAGACAUUCAGUUGCUGGAAGCACUCUUAUUUCCUCAAAGUAAUCACCCUGGGUACCAGACCACACAACCCAGUGCAGUU
rnacentral:rRNA from 1 species